GUCCCCAAAGGUCUGUGUGAAUCAGUUCAAGGGUUGUCUUAGUUUUGGUUUCAGUGCUUUUGAAUGAUUGUUUUGAUUGCUUUCCAUAUUGACAUGCAGAGCAAAAUGAAGGAACAAUAUCUUUAUUAAUUUUGAGCUGAUUACAAGAUAGCAAGGUGUUUUUCAGAACUGAAGUACUAGGGUGUCCUAGUCUGGAAUGCCACACAUCAGCUUCUUCAACAGCUUGCAGAUUGUUGCUACUUGACUCAUCAGCUAUAUUUGACUCGACACUAACAUUGACUGACUCAUUACUUGAAUUGAAAGACAACAUGGACACUGGACAACUACUAUUAUUUAAUGACUCUGAAUUUGACAGAAUAGAAGAAAAAACAGCAUGUGGAUUUUUGUUCCUGCUCAGGAUGGCAGGUAAGUGCAUCAGCUCAUAUAGUCCAUCUCUAGCCACUCCUUUCACCAGAAUUUUCCCUUGUCUCUUGUCCUUAAUAAAACAAACAGAUUUUUGAAACUCAACAUCAACAUCAUUGUCAUGCAGCAGUUUAGAAAUGCUAAUGAGGUUUUUGGUUAUGUUAGGCACAUAUAAUAUAUCAGUCAAGGUAAUGUGCUUGUGUGGAUCAUAU
rnacentral:lncRNA from 1 species